rnacentral:rRNA from 1 species
GCAUAUCAAUAAGCGGAGGAAAAGAAACCAACAGGGAUUGCCCCAGUAACGGCGAGUGAAGCGGCAAGAGCUCAAAUUUGAAAGCUGGCUCCUUCGGGGUCCGCAUUGUAAUUUGUAGAGGAUGCUUCGGGAGCGGUCCCCAUCUAAGUGCCCUGGAACGGGACGUCAUAGAGGGUGAGAAUCCCGUAUGGGAUGGGGUGUCCGCGCCCGUGUGAAGCUCCUUCGACGAGUCGAGUUGUUUGGGAAUGCAGCUCUAAAUGGGUGGUAAAUUUCAUCUAAAGCUAAAUAUUGGCCGGAGACCGAUAGCGCACAAGUAGAGUGAUCGAAAGAUGAAAAGCACUUUGAAAAGAGAGUUAAAAAGCACGUGAAAUUGUUGAAAGGGAAGCGCUUGCGACCAGACUCGCUCGCGGGGUUCAGCCGGCAUUCGUGCCGGUGUACUUCCCCGCGGGCGGGCCAGCGUCGGUUUGGGCGGUCGGUCAAAGGCCCUCGGAAGGUAACGCCCCUAGGGGCGUCUUAUAGCCGAGGGUGCAAUGCGACCUGCCUAGACCGAGGAACGCGCUUCGGCUCGGACGCUGGCAUAAUGGUCGUAAACGACCCGUCUUGAAACACGGACCAAGGAGUCUAACAUCUACGCGAGUGUUCGGGUGUCAAACCCGUGCGCGAAGUGAAAGCGAACGGAGGUGGGAACCCUCACGGGUGCACCAUCGACCGAUCCUGAAGUCUUCGGAUGGAUUUGAGUAAGAGCGUAGCUGUUGGGACCCGAAAGAUGGUGAACUAUGCCUGAAUAGGGCGAAGCCAGAGGAAACUCUGGUGGAGGCUCGUAGCGGUUCUGACGUGCAAAUCGAUCGUCGAAUUUGGGGUAUAGGGGCGAAAGACUAAUCGAACCAUCUGGUAGCUGGUUCCUGCCGAAG